UAUAUUUUUGAGCUCCAAAAAAUACAGGGGGGGUUCGUUCUUUGAACAAUAUAUUUUUGAAAUGGUUGGAUUGGCCUGUCUUUGCCUAAUUGGUGGAGUGGGAGAUGUUAUCUAGCAGUAUUCCUUGACAUCAGAUUGCUGCUGGUUUUUGGUUGCUUAAAUUACAUGAAAAUAUAUUCUUGUAGUAGUGAACAGUAGCCUUUGUUGUCUCCCCUGAAUAUCCAAGAAAAUGAUUGGUUCAAAAUGUUUUCUGUAAGGUUUCAGGAAGACUUUCAGAAUUGAAGACUACUAUAGAUGCUGGAUCGCAAUUUGAGCAAUGGAACCUUUGGUAUGUUAAAUAUUGAACUUAACCAUGUUCAGUGUUAUGCAACAUAAUAAAAAUGAAUUUUUAUAACUGUCUGGAAAAGCUUUCUUUAUAAGUAUUUGGUUGAGUGCCAGUGUUCAUCUUCCAAUUAUUCAAAAAGUAUUUUCUUCUAUUGGUGUUACUGAUUACUUUCUGUUGAUUAUAUUUUUCUCAACUCAUGAGGAAAAAUCUGUUUACCAUACCUUGAACAUGCUGAGCCUUGAUGUGACGAAAAAAUGUCUUGUGGUUGAAGGGUGGAGUCCUAUUUUUGCAACAAAGCAGAUUCAAGAUGCAUUAUUAUCCAUUAGUUCGGUGAUCCCUGUGAGUGUGGAGGGAUAGAUAGUAUAUAAAAAUAAGUGAAACAUAUUUAUUGCAUGAUCAUCAUAGGUUUGUAGUAUGCAUGUUCUGUAGAGUAUCAAUAUACAAACAAAAUGA